rnacentral:misc_RNA from 1 species
UGUGUGAGUGGUAAAUGGAUAGCAUGACUUGGUUGGAUCCCUACUUGAGUAGCGACGUCCACUCGUGCAUUCCUCUUCAAUUUUUGGCACGAGAGCCUCUUUGGCCUUGGCCGCGUUGUUGGUUUCCUGUGCUACAUACCUACAUCGAUGGAAUUUGUCAGCCAAUUUAUCCCGAGUUCUCCUACAUCUGCACCGUUAACGCGGUGCGGCUUCGGGUGAACCUCAAAGCGAAAUUCGUGUGUCGACUUGCAUACCAUUGAUAUGCAGUCACGACCCAUGAACGUAGCGUGACUUUGGGGAUGCAGAAAACAUUGAGGGUAAGUGGUCUUUGACCUCUUUAUUUGCCCCAAAUCGGCAUUACACGCCCUAUUCGAUUGACUCUGGUGUUGCACAGACAUUCUAUGUCUUGCAGCUCGAUGUCACCGAGGAAUGUUACCUGGUUGAUCCUGCCAGUAGUCAUAUGCUUGUCUCAAAGAUUAAGCCAUGCANGUGUAAGUA